rnacentral:rRNA from 1 species
CGUUGACGGACAGCGUAGGGAUAAGGUAGUUGGUUAAACGUAAUUGAAACACCUUUUUGAGUCUAUCACAUUGCUGGGGACUACAUUGUCCUCCACUUUAUUUUGAAUGAAAUAAAAUGACUUAUUCUACUUAUCAACCAGUAUUAAUUAUUCAAUAAUAGUAUAAAGUGAUAUAAUAACUAUUAUUGCCUGAGAAUUAAAGUUAAUUAUUUUAGCUGUAAAUUCUAUAAACUACAGGGUAGUGUGAUAUUUUCACAAGUACAUAAAAGUUGAUUUUUCACAAAGGUAAUAAGAAAUGAGAACAACGGCUAGGUGGCAGUUUAUGCGGGGCACAGAUCCCAUAAAGAGUAGCUGGGUAUAUCCUAAUUCCGAAAAAUUUGGGGAAAAAAUUAUAUAUUUUCUUUUGAGUCUUUAUUUAAUAUAUAAAUUUUAUAUAAAUUUAAUAUUUCGCCGAUCGCUUAUGGCGGUUGACCGAUUUUUAAGAUGAAUUUAUAGAUAAGUAGAUAAGAUAUAUUACUUAUCUCUAUCUAUAUUUAAUCACUAUCUUUUUAUUUAAAAUAAAUUUUAAUUUUAAAGCAAGUAAGAUUUUAACUAUAUCGAGGAUAGGUGUAAUAAAUAAAAUUCACAUUUUCUAAUCUUUUGCGGACUCGUUCUGUCUAGGAUGAAUUGCAUGAUAAUUAGAAGAUGUAAUAUGUAUUUAAAGUUGCUAAAAUCCAAUAUUUCAAUAUUGUGAAUAGUGAUUUUGAUAAUUACUUGUCAAGUUUAAUGGCAUAAUCUUGCUUAACUGUCUGACCUACGCGUCUAUCAGUCGCGUAAGCGGGGCAUACGAUCACGGAAUGCACAAAGGACUGGUUCCGUAUUAUAGAUAAAU